GCUUGUUGUAUUACAUAUUGAUAACUUCAGAGUGGUUUCUCGUGAAAACAGAAACACUCAAGGGUAAAGGGCAACUGGGAUGUGGAAAAAGAGAAGGGAAAGAAGGAGAAAUUUUGUACGUAUGUAUAUACAGGAUAGCUAACAUAGUUGUUCUACUGUCUUCUAUUUCUUUGCCGAAAGAAACUGUUAAGGAGUCCUUGAUUGACAGUAGUAACUUCUGCUGACCGGAAACCGCCAAGUUGGAACUUGCGUGUAAAUCACCCUGCGAGUGAGUCAUCCUUCCUGCAGAUAACACUACCGACCGGACCGCCCCGCCCGAGCGCGAACAGGGCUAUGCUGGCCUCUCUCCUCCGUGGCCUCUGGAAAGUCCUGAGGUGGGGAGCCAGGGCGCCGAGUCACCGCGUCUUCACCAGAGUUGUUUUGCAAUCAUUAUUCAUGACGGGGAGCAGGCACCGAGCAUUCCAGGCUUACACCAGUGUUACUAAACUUUCUAUGCGUAUUGCCAAGCUGCAGGGUUUCCCACACGCAGCAGAGCUGUGUGCGCAGCGUGUCCAGUCAGCACGUGUUUGGAGAAUGAUGAGUGACUCACGGGCUCGGCUCUCUGACUCCGAUUCUCCCGCAGCCCUGGCAGUCCAGCUCCGUGCCAACGGGUUCCUUCAGCGCCCUGACAAUGGGCGCCUGCUGUACUACCUGCGGGGCAUUUGGCUGGAGACGGUAUUUUGUUCCAGUGAGAGAAAAGACAGGGCCUGAGGUCAAUCCCCAGAUGCACAGAAAAGAAGGAGGAAGAGGAGGAGGAAGAGGAGGAGGAAGAGGAGGAGGAAGAGGAGAAAGAGAAAGAAGAAGCGGAGGAUUAUUGAUGCACAUCACAACAUUGAAUAAACUUUCAAAACAUUGUGAACAAAAUUAGUGAACAAAAUUAGUAACAAAACUUUUCAUACUGUGUGAGUCUACUCAUGUGAAAUGCCCAGGAAAAGGAAAUACACAGAGAUAGAAAGCAGGAUUGUUGUUUGCCUAGAGCUGGAGGUGAGCGUGUGGUGGAUGGCAGUGAUAGCAGAGAGGACAAUGCAGUGUGUGUUCUAAAAUUAGACUGUACACUUAGGAUAAGUGUGUGUUUUUUUUUUUUUUUUGGUUUUUUCUCCGUUACGGGGAACCGAACUCAUGACCUUGCGCUUGCCAGGCAGGUGCUUUUGCCCCUGAGCUAAAUCCCCAGCCCCAAGUGUGUGAUAUUUUAAUGAUACAAAGAAAGUCACUGAACUGGGCAGUUUAAGUGGAUAAAUUCUAUAGUAAAUUAAUCAUAUCUCAAUAAACUGUUAAAUUUGAGGGCAGCCUGAGCUACAUGGUAAGUUCAGUGCCCUCCUAGACUACUUGUGAGAUGAAAGUGUCAUGUAAAACAUUACAUUUAAAGAUUAUAUAGUGGGGAGCCCCUGUGUACACAUGCACACAUACACGCACACAUUUGUACUGAGUGUUUAGUCUUGUGAUUGCUAAGCGAGCAUUGUACCACUGAGCUACAUCUCCAACCCUUUCUAUUUUGAGACAAGGUCUUGCUAAGUUGCCGUGGUUGGCCUUGAACUUCUG
ensembl:lincRNA